rnacentral:tRNA from 1 species
GGGCUUGUAGCUCAUUGGUAGAGCGGUUGUCUUAUAAACAACAGGUACUUGGUCCGAUCCCAAGCAAGCCCACAA